rnacentral:rRNA from 1 species
AGUCGAGCGAUGAAAUUUCGACAGAUCCCUUCGGGGUGAAGAUGAAAUGGAUUAGCGGCGGACGGGUGAGUAACACGUGAGUAACCUGCCUUUGACAUUGGGAUAGCCUCGGGAAACUGGGAUUAAUACCAAAUGACACUAACUGGUCACAUGAUCAAUUAGUCAAAGAAAUUCGGUCAAAGAUGGACUCGCGGCUGAUUAGCUAGUUGGUGAGGUAACGGCCCACCAAGGCGACGAUCAGUAGCCGGCCUGAGAGGGUGAUCGGCCACAUUGGAACUGAGACACGGUCCAAACUCCUACGGGAGGCAGCAGUGGGGAAUAUUGCACAAUGGGGGAAACCCUGAUGCAGCGACGCCGCGUGAGCGAAGAAGGCCUUCGGGUCGUAAAGCUCUUUUAUGAGGGAAGAUAAUGACGGUACCUCAAGAAAAAGCCCCGGCUAACUACGUGCCAGCAGCCGCGGUAAUACGUAGGGGGCUAGCGUUGUCCGGAAUCACUGGGCGUAAAGGGUUCGCAGGCGGAAUAACAAGUCAGAUGUGAAAGGCAUGGGCUCAACCCAUGUAAGCAUUUGAAACUGUAAUUCUUGAGAAGUGGAGAGGUAAGUGGAAUUCCUAGUGUAGCGGUGAAAUGCGUAGAUAUUAGGAGGAAUACCUGUGGCGAAGGCGACUUACUGGACACAAAUCUGACGCUGAGGAACGAAAGCGUGGGUAGCAAACAGGAUUAGAUACCCUGGUAGUCCACGCCGUAAACGAUGAGUGCUAGGUGUCGGGGGAGACCUCGGUGCCGGCGUUAACACAAUAAGCACUCCGCCUGGGGAGUACGUGCGCAAGCAUGAAACUCAA